CCCUGGGUCCUAAGCCUCCUAGGUCAUGCAAAAUCUAACUGAGCCAAGAAAGGAACUCAGCCAAGAGAUAUGCAGGUUGUGCUUAGCAGCCGAUCAGUUUGAGACCUGCGAGGCCGCAUCCCCAGGGUUUUUCAUCUCUUCUGUUUCCAUUUGUCCAGGUAUGGUUGUGUACCUGUGGUUCCAGCUGUUUAGGAGGUGGAGACGGGAGGAUCAGUUGACCCUGGGAGGUUAAGGCUGCAGUGAGGCAGUGAGCUUUGAAGGGAACCUUGAGAUGGAUUUUUUUUUUGAGACGGAGUCUUGCUCUGCUGCCCAGGCUGAGUCCAGUUGUGUGAUCUUGGCUAACUACAACCUCCACCUCCUGGGUUCAAGCGAUUCUCCUGCCUCAGCCUACUGAGUAGCUGGGAUUACAGGUGCACGCUAUCAUGCCCAGCUAGUUGUUGUGUUUUUUUUUGUAUUUUUAGUAGAGACGGGAUUUCACCAUGUUGGCCAGGCUGGUCUCGACUCCUGACCUCAAGUGAUCCACCCGCCUCAGCCUCCUAAAGUGCUGGGAUUACAGGCGUGAGCCACUGUACCCAGCCGAGAUGGACAUUUUUAAAUGAAUAUUUUUAUGUGUAAACAUUUUAAAUGAAUCUUAAAUACAAGUUGGAGACUGUUCUAAUUCCUGAAAGCAGCUGAGUCUAUGGCAGCCAUCAUGAAGCUACCCACUGGAAAAGAGGAACUUGACAUGGUGUUACUGAGGAUGGCUAGUGAAAAUCACUAAAAAUGCUUACAUUUAUGUAGGAUGAGACACCCCA
rnacentral:lncRNA from 10 species